rnacentral:rRNA from 1 species
AUUGAACGCUGGCGGCAGGCUUAACACAUGCCAGUCGAACGAGUGGCGGACGGGUGAGUAAUGCUUGGGAAUCUGGCUUAUGGAGGGGGAUAACGACGGGAAACUGUCGCUAAUACCGCGUACCAUAGGAUGAGCCCAAGUGGGAUUAGGUAGUUGUGGGGGUAAAGGCCUACCAAGCUGACGAUCUCUAGCUGGUCUGAGAGGAUGACCAGCCACACCGGGACGGAGACACGGCCCGGACUCCUACGGGGGGCAGCAGUGGGGAAUAUUGCGCAAUGGGGGCAACCUGACGCAGCCCUGCCGCGUGGGGGAUGAAGGCCUUCGGGUUGUAAACUCCUUUCGACAGGGACGCGGUACCUGUAUAAGAAGCACCGGCUAACUACGUGCCAGCAGCCGCGGUAAUUC